UACAGAGGGUGCGGGCGUUAAUCGGAAUUACUGGGCGUAAAGCGCACGUAGGCGGCUUGGUAUGUCGGGUGUGAAAUCCCCGGGCUCAACCUGGGAACUGCAUCCGAAACUGCCUUGCUAGAGUAUGGGAGAGGGAAGUGGAAUUUCCGGUGUAGCGGUGAAAUGCGUAGAUAUCGGAAGGAACAUCAGUGGCGAAGGCGACUUCCUGGACCAAUACUGACGCUCAGGUGCGAAAGCGUGGGGAGCAAACAGG
rnacentral:rRNA from 1 species